AUGAUUUAAUUUAAUGGCCGCGGUAUUUUGACCGUGCAAAGGUAGCAUAAUCAUUAGCUUAUUAAUUGUAAGAUUGUAUGAAUGGUUGGACGAAAUAUUGACUGUCUCAUAUUUAUUAAUUAAAAUUUAAUUUUUGGGUUAAAAAGCUUAACUUUUUUUAAUGGACGAGAAGACCCUAUAGAUCUUUAUUUUCAUUAUUUUGUUUUUUUUGNAUUUAUUAAUUUAUUGGAUUUUUAAUUGGGGNGAUUUUGANANAUGAUUAACUCUUUAUUUUUUUUUUCAUUUNUUUNUGUUUAAUUGACCUUUUNUUNUUGUUUANAA
rnacentral:rRNA from 1 species